rnacentral:rRNA from 1 species
AUUGAACGCUGGCGGCAUGCCUUACACAUGCAAGUCGAACGGCAGCACGGACUUCGGUCUGGUGGCGAGUGGCGAACGGGUGAGUAAUGUAUCGGAACGUACCUUUCAGUGGGGGAUAACGUAGCGAAAGUUACGCUAAUACCGCAUAUUCUGUGAGCAGGAAAGCAGGGGAUCGCAAGACCUUGCGCUGAUUGAGCGGCCGAUAUCAGAUUAGCUAGUUGGUGAGGUAAAGGCUCACCAAGGCGACGAUCUGUAGCGGGUCUGAGAGGAUGAUCCGCCACACUGGAACUGAGACACGGUCCAGACUCCUACGGGAGGCAGCAGUGGGGAAUUUUGGACAAUGGGGGCAACCCUGAUCCAGCCAUGCCGCGUGAGUGAAGAAGGCC